rnacentral:sRNA from 1 species
UUAUAAUUUGGUAACAUAUAGAUAUUUGAAUAUUCAGUAUAUUUUGCUUCAGUUUAAGAAAUCUUUGAUGACGCGUCUUUAGAUCUAAUAAGCCCUAUAAUCUAGAUAUUAACCUGCAGUAUACUGCAGGUAGGCUUAUAUUUUAGUUAAACUAAAAUUUUUU